UAUCUAGCAUGAACUUCUAUUCGAAAUUCAAGUUCCAAAUUCUCUAUUCCAUGUGCAGCUUGAAUAUUAUAUUUCGCCGCUAUUUUUUCUUUUUUAAGCUUAGUUGUUUAUAUGGCUAAUCUAUUGAAUAAAAUACUUGAACAAGAUAAUCUCUCCCGACAUGCAUUUGACACUAUCAUAUGUCAACAAAUCACAUGAAUUAAUUAAAGAAAACCCAUUUCAAAGUGGGGGGAUCUUAGUUAUCAAUAGCCACUAAGAUAUUAGAUAUGUGCAUGACUCUUGAGGCCUGAUGAACUUGUGAUUGUGGUUAGUGAAUAAUUCGAGGUUAGGCAGAAGGCAUUGUUGGAAAGCAGGAGAGAAACUGCAGGAUGGCUAUUUUGACAGUGGAUAAGGGCAAUCCAAUAGAUUAGGCAAUUUGGACCAUUAUGAUCAGAUAUUGUACGUAUGGAUGGGGACCCGUCAAGCUCACCGCAAUCUUAAACGAAUGAGGUUGAAAUUAUGUUAGCUAUCAGCUUAUUUGAUUUGAAGAGAUAAUUACACAUUUGUUUUGCUAUUUGCUUGUACUAUACCCUAUAAAUGUUCAAUAUUCAUCUAAAUACAUAAAAAUUUGUUACUCA